UAUCUAGUGCUCUGUUGGGAUCCUAGUAAUAUAUGAGUAUCAGUCACAGCUAGGAAAUGAGUCUUGUGUCCAGUGUCCUUUAUUCCUCCAUGUUAAUGCAGGGUCAGAGUCUCAGUAUGGUCCCCACAGAUCCAUCCGCCGCAAAGGAAAUGUUGCCUCAGGUAAAACGAUUGUUAGCCAUGGUUACUUAACGAAUGUGCACCCUUCAGGGUUGUCUGAUGGGCGGAGAGGGUUCUCCACUAGCCGCUGUCGAUGCAUAACUUUCAGGUCAGCCUCCGUUUCCAGACAGUACUCAGCCGUUGCUUGACUGUCGCUGCCUCCAUGCUUCGGCUUAUACUGGGUGCGGCGGCCAUCUUGGGUUGUUGCACGCGGUCACUGAGUGGUCUGUUCACCUCACUGUUUGCCCAAAGGGAUCUCCGCCUUCCCGGUGGGGUCCGGGAUAACCCCCCCGGCCCACAGGGGGGGGAGAACGAGGCCCUUUGCCGGCGUGCGGGAGGACCCGCCGGACUAAGCGCGGGAGAUCGGCCGUUUCUCCCGCCAGAGCCUCACGACGGGCCACAAUACCAUCCGCCCAGCAGUCAGCCUUGCCGGUAGGGUAUGGGCCGACAGCUGCCCCAAGUGUUGCGGCUCAGGUCCCCAGUGCCUUCUCAUAGUUGCCGGUUGUUUUUUAGGGGGAGAUAUAGUAGUUUUGGGCUGAUUAAUGGGCUUUCAUCGUGGAGCCGAGGCGCUCCACGUCCAUCCGGCUCAGCGUGCAGGCCCCGCCCCCGCUUGUUUUUCUUUUA